GUCUAUGGCUAGCCUAUAGAGAGCAAUUUUAAUAGGGGUCAUGUUACCUGCAGGUCACCCAAAUUACACCCCAAGUCACUGAAGUCCCAAUCUAGACACGGAAUCACAAGGACAGUGGGAGAAGAAUAGCUUCAGUAGGACAUAGCACAUUUUUGUGUUCCUGACCCUGUGUUUCUUUAAAAUUGGUUUGUAAAUUUAUAAGAAAGUAG